UACGUAGGCAGCAAGCGUUGUUCGGAGUUACUGGGCGUAAAGGGUGUGUAGGCGGUCUUCUAAGUUUGGUGUGAAAUCUCCCGGCUCAACUGGGGAGGGUCAUUCGAUACUGAUCGACUUGAAGGCAGGAGAGGGAAGUGGAAUUCCCGGUGUAGUGGUGAAAUGCGUAGAUAUCGGGAGGAACACCAGUGGCGAAGGCGACUUCCUGGCCUGUUCUUGACGCUGAGGCGGCGAAAAGCUAGGGGAGCAAACGGGG
rnacentral:rRNA from 1 species